rnacentral:lncRNA from 1 species
UUGUACAGUCGAGUGAAGAAAGGGUGAGUUGGGAAGCCAAGAAAGGGUCUGAGGGGUCUGGGGGAUGACGGGGACUAGCGCCGAUCUGUGUGAGUCUUACAGGGCUACGCUUGUCUGUGCCUGGGCUGAGGAGGGUGCCGAUGCCCUGGGCCCCGAUGGUCAGCUGCUCCACUCAGAUGCCUUCCCACCGCCCCGAGUAGUAGACACUCUUGGGGCUGGAGACACCUUCAAUGCCUCUGUCAUCUUCAGCCUCUCGAAGGGAAACAGCAUGCAAGAGGCCCUGAGAUUCGGGUGCCAGGUGGCUGGCAAGAAGUGUGGCUUGCAGGGGUUUGAUGGCAUUGUGUGAGAGGCAAGCGGCACCAGCUCGAUACCUCAGAGGCUGGCACCAUGCCUGCCACUGCCUUCUCUACUUCCUCCAGCUUAGCAUCCAGCUGCCAUUCCCCGGCAGGUGUGGGAUGUGGGACAGCCUCUGUCUGUGUCUGCGUCUCUGUAUACCUAUCUCCUCUCUGCAGAUACCUGGAGCAAAUAAAUCUUCCCCUGAGCC